GCUACUGCUGGGUGAGGGGUCCGCAUAGUCCUCGUCCUCGGUGCUGCUCUCCUCACUCUCCAUUCUACCUCAAUACACCUGACGAUAACUAAAAACUGUCGUGCGGUCGAAAGGCAAGGACAAUUGUCAUCUACUUCGAGUGUUGAGAAUUGAAUUCAAAUUUUCCCGGGGGCCGGCGUCGUCAUUCACAUCACCUGCUCAGGUAUUCAAAUUUGUGCGGCUUUGAGCAGCGCAUGGGGUGCGUAUUGUUCGAACCUCGAAAUCAAAAGUCGACGAUUUCGCGAGGUUGUGCACAGCUCCGCGAUGGCCAACUACGCCAGGUACAAUCCCAAAGGGUCUGCCUACCAGCAUACAAACUUUCAGCUUGUCAGUAUAAAAAGGAAACGUAAAACAGGCUUUUGAAAAUCGGCAGUCAGACUAUUCCCUUCAUUCGGUCGCAUGGCUGUCAACAAUACGAAUGAAACAAGGAAUUAAAAAAGUAUGUUCUCGAUCACGAGGAGCAAUGCGAACAACAAAAUCCCGCCUUCGUAGCUUCACGAUACACUGGUCGCGCUAAGAAACUCUGUCAAACAAAACUCUAUCGUACACUCCAGUCAACUAAGGAAAAUGCACUGAUAACAAGCUAUACCGUUGCCAGGUGGCCUCCUCAUCUACUAGGGUCAUUUGACUGGAAAUACCAUCCCUUGGUCCUGCUUGCGAUAGUCUUCUGGGACAGGUGGUCGCCUUAUCAGAGUGGUCGCUUUGACAGGUUUCACUGUAUCUUCAAGGGCAAGGUAAGAGACCGACGUCAAUUACAUCAGCACGCAUCCAAGAGGGAAUUUCUACGUGGAGGCUCACCAGAUAUUGAGCACAUAGGACGCCAGUGAUCUGUGCAUUCUUAACGCACUCCACCAUCAAUGCGUAGGCAUCUCGAGACACCAGGAAUGGGAUGAUUGAGUCAAUUCUACAACAUUGGCGAAGACCCACGGAAUCGACUCGGACAUCGGCGGGAUCAUCCACGAGCAUCGGCUACGAUGGCUCGGCCAUAUUGGCCGCAUGGACGAUGACCGUCUGCUCAAGCGUAUUCUGUUUGGGGAGCUCCCCGCAACUCGACCUCUGCACGGCCCACGCAAGUGUUGGCAGGAUGUGGUUGUGGAUGAUGUCAACUGCAUUCAUCCACCUGUACAGGAGAAGGAAGGGCUCGACAUUGCCCAGAAUUGCUCGGCGUGGAAGUAAUCCACCGUCGUCCUCAGCCGCGUGAUGUCUCCGCCGAGCCAGAAUAUCGUUGUGCAUUCGGGAAGACGCGCCGCCGGCCCCCGCGAGAUCAAGCGCCACGAACCUUUCUGCCGGUUGCCUCCGAAUUAGUCCUUCGCCUAUGGCAAUGAGCAAGUUCAAGGUUCAAGUAAUAGUUGUGUGCAGAAGAAGGUUUCUCUGACGGCUGAAGACGGAGAAUGGAAGGACGAGAAGGAACAAAGGAAGGAGCGGAGCAAUGCCUUUAUGAUCAAGAAAAUACUGUUCAAAGAAGCGUGUGCUCGUACAAGAUGUGUUCCCAAGACCAUUAUCCUGCAGGUCAGCUGAAAAUAACAUUGACGUACUAGCAACAUGUACAUGUACCGGUAUGUUCAAGCAGUCCCAAGCUCUUAGAUAUCUUUACUGGUGGGAUACAAAUUCUGACGGCUCCUGUCAAUUACCUUUUUACUUAAAAAAAAACGUUGUGCCCAUUGCAGCGUACGACAUUUGCUACAUCAGUCGAUGCGCCAAGCCAGCUGAGUGGGUCUUUUUAUUUUUUUCGCGCGAAAGUUUAUGUGGUGAACUGUGUUGGUAAAGAUGAAGAUGUCAGUCAAUGAAAUUAGCUAUAUUUCUUGUGUCUAACUAACCCUGUACGGAUCGAACUGACGAUGUCCGAGUGCGACAAAUGUCCUGAAGUCUGCUCCUAUUAGCUAGGUAUCUAGAAAUUUCAACUUGAGUGUCAAGUGAAGACUUUGCCAGUUUCAGACGAGAGAAUUCUCGCUUCACGAUUUUCCUGGUGUGUGGAGAUACGUCUGAAUGCCGACCCACCACACCCGACAUGAUGCUUCGGCAGGAAUGCAGAAAGGAUCAUAUGUAGUGCCUGCUCAGCAUUACAUCCAUUGCGUAGCAGCAAUGUGCCAUCCUUCCGCGACUUGGGUGGAAUGACGUGCAAGUGGUGCUCCAGGGUCAACUUCAAUUUGCCGAGCACGUAUGCCGCUGGCUUGGGGUCAGCAGUUGGGUGCACAGUCUCUGUAUACAAAUCAUGCACUGUCGUCAACAAUAUGGCACCCUUGUCCAGCAAUUCACGUGCUAUAGCGGCAAUGACUAUAUUGGGAAGAUCACUCUCGGCACCUUCCGUGCUGUAUUGAGAGAUGAUGCUUCGCAAUUGGUGGUCUGUGCUUGGUGCACUGUCGGCAGGGAGCAUGUCAAUUUGCUUUCGGUAGCAGCAUCUACAAAAUCGACUCGUCUGAAAUCCUGACGUUGUGCAUGCUACGCAACACAUGCUCUGCAAGUUGAAAGUUUGGUGACUUCCACCUGUCCUGUGUUCUGGUGUGAGCCUCGACUUACACCAAGCACAUGUUGCAUGGCCCACACACUGCUGGUAACUUAUGGGCCGGGCACUGAACCGGUUCGCACUGUUCUUUCAGACUGUGCACGUGCAGUUUGUCUGCAGGACAGUGUACGGAUGCCGCUGCGCUGCAAUCAUGUACAUUGCAUGUACUUUGGCAGACUGGUGGCUUAUUUUCUUUCGCUGCUGUGCAUACUUGGCGUCGUAGUGCUUUGACGCACUUCCAACAAAUGCAUUGGCCUGGGCGUUCUCUCACAGACCACACACUGCUGGUAAUGGGUCGGGCACAGAACCGGUUCGCACUGUUCUUUCGGACUGUGCACGCGCAGUUUGUCUGCAGGACAGUGUACGGAUGCCGCUGCGCUGCAAUCAUGUACACUGCAUAUGCUUUGGCUGACUGGUGGCUUAUUUUCUUUCGCUGCUGUGCAUACUUGGCGUCGUAGUGCUUUGACGCACUUGCAAUAAAUGCAUUGGCCUGA